UGCUUAUCUAACAUUUAUUGCAUCCUGUCUAAUUAUUACCCAGUCUGUGAUGGCUGAUAUUUGUUAGCAUGCACUAGAGGAGGUUGGAGCUAAAACUGGAUGAAAAACAAAUUGCUUAUGAUCUUUGCUGAAACUGUCAGGGGAACAAAGAUUCUAUGUAACCUGAGCCUUCAAGGUCUGUUCUCGACAUGCCAAAAUACUUUCUGCUGGAGUGGUCCCACGUGUGUCUCUGCCCAGGGGUAUAUGAAGAAAAACACGUGCCUGGGUCUGUCAUGUG